ensembl:lncRNA
AAAAGCAAUUAUCCUUCAAUAAAAAAUUAAUUAAAAAAAGAAAUAGGUUGAAAAAUAUCUUAGAAGUUUUUAAAUUGUAAAAGUAAGUAUGUAUGGUUUCUUUCAGAAUUUAAAUAAAAAUGGAAAGACACUGGGACUUCCCUGGUGGUCAAGUUGAGCUUCGAACUUUCAAUGCAGAGAGGAGUGCAGGUUCAAUCACUGGUCAGGGAAUAAGAUCCCACAUGCUGCACAGCACCACCAAAAGAUUCUUUUUUUAAUGAAAGACACUAAACACUGAAAGCGUUUCUGACACUCUGUGUGGGAUCUCCUCAGUGAAUAGGCUACCGCCUUCAUCACUCUGGCUGGGAGCUCAGGCUCUGUGCUGUCUCCCCGGGAGAGCGAGCGUUCUCAGGAAUGUGAGGAUUUGUCUCUGAAGGUACUCAGAGUUUUUGCUGCUGUAUGUAACCAUGGCAGGUUGCCAUAUACUUGAUAGGUACUUAAUAAAUGUUUAUGAAAUGAAUGAAAGAAAAGAAGGGAGGAAGUUACACAAUAGUCUCUGCACAGACCUGGCAUGUUUUGGAGAGAAAUUUCAGGAAGAAGCAGAAGUCACAUUUUUCUACAUAAUCUGAGCUCUGGGAAAUGCCACAGUAAGGUAAAAUAUGAACUAUGCACUCCAAGGGUGCAAUGAGGCUGAGCGUGAGUGCAUCACGCAAGAGAUGAUGCCCCUCAGGUCUUCAUCCCUUCAGGACUGCCUGAAGAUGUGAAGGAAUUAUAGUAUAAUGAUUAUUAAAUGCUUAUUCCAUUUUUUCUAGGGCUUUCCAGGUGGCACCAGUGGUAAAGAACACACCUGCCAAUGCAGGAGAUGCAAGAGACGCGGGUUUGAUCCCUGGGAUGGGAAGAUCCCCUGGAAGAGGAAAUGGCAGCCCACUCCAGUGUUCUUGGCUGGAGAAUCCCAUGGACAGAGGAGCCUGGUGGGCUACAGUCCNNNNCGUUGCAGAGGGUAGGACAUGACUGAAGCAACUUAGCACACAUUUUUGCUAACCUUUUCUAAAAAACUCUUUAACUUUAUAGCAUCAUGAAAGAGGAGCUUUGUCUUUUGCCAAAAAUUUCCAACUAAUAUUUAUUGUUUUCCAUGAAUAAGAGGCACUCUUCCAAAAUAACAUGAUCUUCAAAAUAUUCCCUUUAAGUAAUAUUAUUGUUCUUAAUUUACAGAUAAGAAAAAUUUUCCCAAGGUACCACAUGAAGUAGAUGGUGAUACUAUUUUGGAAUGCAGCAGGCCACUAGAUCUUAUUCCUAUUUAACAACCUAAAGCUAAAGUCAGUUACAUUAUGGCCUGAAACUGAAAAGGAGAAAGGGGAAGAGCUGGCUCCCAGUCUUCUAGGUAAAGAAGCAAGACACACAUAGACAGUCAAGAAUGAGUCUGUCGUUUCAGGCCGUUAAUUUACAGAAUUCACUGAAAGGAAGGGAAAAAAGAAAAAUUGAAAAGCUUCAUUAGUAAAUUACUUGUCAUAAUAAAAUUGUUGACCAUCAUCAGACCUUUUAUUAGGAACACCAACAGCAAAUGAUUUUGUUCCCUAUCUGGUUUAUAUGCUGAGUUAAAGUAUAACAUCUGAAUGUUAUUUUUGUUUAAAAUUUGAAUUUUAAAGGCCAGAAGUUUGUGCCCUUAUUUUAGUGAAUUAUUUUGCUGUUACCGGUUAGAUGCCUUGUGACAAGGAACAUAAGAGCUAUUUAAAAGAGACCUGUACAAUUUAGGCAGAAUAAUUGCAGUCCUGAAUAGGGCAAGCAAUUAUAUGCAACAUGCAGCCUGCAUCUUAGGGUAUUCUGAGGCAUCUGAUGGCAUUGCGCCUGGUUCCUGGGGUUUACAUGUUGAAAGCUUUUCAGGCUUUCUUUUAAAAUAGGUAUUUAAAGCCAUUAAUUCUCUCUUGAAGCAAACAAAGGAAAGAC